rnacentral:rRNA from 1 species
ACCUCUGAAUUUGAAAUCACUACUUAUAGACCUGGUAUUGGCCAUAAUUUAGAAGAGCAUUGUGCGGUAUUGGUAAAAGGAGGAAGGGUUAAAGAUUUACCAGAUGUGAGAUAUCACAUUAUUCGAGGAACCCCUGAUGUCCUAAGAUUAUGUGUCCUGAGAUUAUGCCUAACCAUUACAAUUAUUGAAGGUGCCCUUAUUACUCCAUUGUUUAGUUAG